UACAGAGGUGGCAAGCGUUGUUCGGAAUUACUGGGCGUAAAGGGCGCGUAGGCGGCCUUCUAAGUCAGACGUGAAAUCCCCAGGCUUAACUUGGGAACUGCGUCUGAUACUGGGAGGCUUGAGUGCGGGAGAGGGAUGUGGAAUUCCAGGUGUAGCGGUGAAAUGCGUAGAUAUCUGGAGGAACACCGGUGGCGAAGGCGGCAUCCUGGACCGACACUGACGCUGAGACGCGAAAGCGUGGGGAGCAAACAGG
rnacentral:rRNA from 1 species